GGAGAGGUGCCCGAGUGGUUGAAGGGGUACGCCUGGAGAGCGUAUGUACGGCCUAGCCGUACCGCGGGUUCGAAUCCCGCCCUCUCCG
rnacentral:tRNA from 1 species